AACGCAACUUGCGCUCAUUGGUAUUCCAAUGAGCACGCCUGUUUCAUUAUCAAAACAAACCCUCUAUCCAGCAUUUUUGUUGAAUAGGAAUAUUGAGAGUCUCUUGAUCUAUUCUGAUCUCGAACCUCUUGACAUGUACAAAGGCCUGAUCUUGUUUGAAUGCCUGAACUUUUUUUUAAUAUAAAGAGAAUCUUUUGUGGUAAACUGAGCUGGGGCAUCCCAAAUAAUCCUCUUUAUAAAUUUAAUCAGAAAUCAGGUGGUAUUACCCGCCGAACUUAA
rnacentral:misc_RNA from 1 species